GAUGAAGAACGUAGCGAAAUGCGAUAAGUAAUGUGAAUUGCAGAAUUCAGUGAAUCAUCGAAUCUUUGAACGCAUAUUGCGCCCAUUAGCAUUCUAGUGGGCAUGCCUGUUCGAGCGUCAUUUCAACCCUUAAGCCCUGUUGCUUAGCGUUGGGAGCCUACAGUACUGUAGCUCCCCAAAGUUAGUGGCGGAGUCGGUUUCACACUCUAGACGUAGUAAUUUUUUCUCGUCUGUAGUUGAGCCGGUCCCCUGCCGUAAAACACCCAAUUUAUCAAGGUUGACCUCGGAUCAGGUAGGAAUACCCGCUGAACUUAAGCAUAUCAAUAAGCGGAGGA
rnacentral:misc_RNA from 1 species